UCUUGGUAGUCUGGUGUGCUUUGAAACCUUCUCUCUCUUUAGGGACCCAAAAAUAUCGUAUCUCCGGUGAAAGGUCAUAAAGGCAUCUUCCAGGCAUGGGAUCCUGUCAAGGGCCCUGAAAUUACUUCAGGGCGGGAUGUCACCUAUUAGUUUGACCAACUCUUCCUGCAGAAAGUGAGGGGCAGUGUGGUGAGGACAAGAAGCUGACACUAACAGGUGGCUUACAGGAAAGAGGUGACUUCAGAAAUGUGUUACUUACCUAGAUUUCUUCGCCUGCUAUUGAAAAUAAAGAAUAUUUCUGCUCCAAUGGUGUGCUGGAACUUCCACGUAGGACUUCUGGAUUCCUACAAAAGAACUACCAUCUGAAAGUACUGGUAAAAAUCAAUGCUUCUGUGGAAGAAUGAUGAUAUAAAGCUCCUAUUCUGCCAUCUUGCUAACAUCACUCUCUAAAGUUACUUUUAAAGGAAUAAAA
rnacentral:lncRNA from 1 species